GGCCAUGGUUACGGGUAUUAUUGAGACAGGCGAAAGGGCGCCGAGAUAAUGGCAGCGCCCUAUGUUUACCGAAAUACCGGUUCCAUUAUGGAUACACCCCUGAGCGCCCGUGACAGUGUGCAAUAUACUGCAAUUUGUAAUCGGUCAGCGUUGACGUCUAAUAACUCGAUCCGUUAUGCUCGUGAAUAUGUUUUUUCCACGCUAGCUCUCGUAAUUUCAUACCUACAGCGACCGUUGGAAUAAAGAUAUUUUUUCAUCUCGACUAUUGAUAUUUAUUGAGGGAACAAGAUUUGAUCAUGAAUAAUCCGGGACAAAAUUUGGUUACCACAUAUGUAUGCAAGAGCGGAAGAGAAUACAUCGUCAAGAUGAGGGUCGUCGGCUUAGGAGGAGAAUCGUCGACAUCGCGGCGCAACUUGGACAUUACCGUCACCGACAAACACACUGCCGAGAAAUGGCAGUCCUCGUACGACGUCGCCUGUCUAUUGGUACGUUCACCCUUGAAUGAUCAUCUUGUUUCGGCAGAUAUCGAGAAUCUCACCCAGAAAACAGGAAAUUACAAACAAUUCGAUAUAUUCGUAGCCAUGCUGCAGUCUGGUUUGUUAAAAACAAGCGACUGUGUCUCCCUCGACCUGCUAACUUUUGACGAUCUAGAGCUGUUGCGCUGCCGUAGGACCGAAGUUGGGUCAGAUUAUUCGUUGGUCGGUGCCAAGAUGAGCAACAGGCGAUAUUUGAUUAUUACUUACAACGUGGAGUUUGACAGAAUCCAUUAUCCAUUGCCAUUGGAGUAUUGCGGCCUACCUGACACCGCCGUUCUACAGUCAACGAUAAGAAGGCUAGAAGCUGAAUUGGAGAGACUCAGGUCAGCUGGGGGUGGAAUUGAGAAUCUUUGUAAGAAACUUGAACUGCUAACAGCAGCCAACAAGAAACUUGUCGAAGAAAACCACAGAUUGUCUAAUGGCGGUCGAGGAAUUCAUCGUUUACUCGGAGCUGUUAAAUCCUUGGAACGGUCGGUGGCUGAAGAGCGGGCAUCAUUUCGUUCUCGAAUACAAAAACUGCGUACUGAGAAUUCCAUUUUGGUGGCAAAGCUGCACCGCUCAAGCGAAGCUGUCGAUAGAAAGCCCCGACGAUCCAGUCCGCUAACGCUUCCAUUCCAAAGCAGAUGUUUAAUGGGUAGAAGACGUAAGAGCCGAUCAGCACUGGGUCGUGGUCGAUCAAAGUCGGCAAGUUCCUCGCCAGGAAAGCUACAUGCAGCACUUGUGUCUGCUUUUUGUCAUUCUGAAGUGAAAACUUUCUAUACAGCUUCUCAGAUCUUCUCGCUGCUCCUUAUGUAUAAACUGUAUUUAACCGAAAGUUCUCGCCGAUAGGCAGCUCCUCUGUCGACUCGAUCAAGUCUAUAGGGUCCCCUCGCCAAGGAGUUGUAGGAUGUCGUCGGUUGAAGACGAAAGAAAUAGACUUUGGAAAUUUGGAGUCUCGAAUUCACAAAUUGCAGAAGAUGCUCAAG